rnacentral:rRNA from 1 species
AGCGAACGCUGGUGGCAGGCCUAACACAUGCAAGUCGAACGAAGCCUUCGGGCUUAGUGGCGGACGGGUGAGUAACACGUGGGAACGUACCUUUUGGUUCGGAACAACUCAGGGAAACUUGAGCUAAUACCGGAUGAGCCCUUAGGGGGAAAGAUUUAUCGCCGAAAGAGCGGCCCGCGUUAGAUUAGCUAGUUGGUGAGGUAAAGGCUCACCAAGGCAACGAUCUAUAGCUGGUCUGAGAGGAUGAUCAGCCACACUGGGACUGAGACACGGCCCAGACUCCUACGGGAGGCAGCAGUGGGGAAUCUUGCGCAAUGGGCGAAAGCCUGACGCAGCCAUGCCGCGUGAAUGAUGAAGGUCUUAGGAUUGUAAAAUUCUUUUACCAGGGACGAUAAUGACGGUACCUGGAGGAAAAGCCCCGGCUAACUUCGUGCCAGCCGCCGCUGUAAAAC